rnacentral:rRNA from 1 species
AUACGUAGGGUGCAAGCGUUAAUCGGAAUUACUGGGCGUAAAGGGUGCGCAGGCGGUUUUGUAAGACAGUGGUGAAAUCCCCGGGCUCAACCUGGGAACUGCCAUUGUGACUGCAAGGCUGGAGUGCGGCAGAGGGGGAUGGAAUUCCGCGUGUAGCAGUGAAAUGCGUAGAUAUGCGGAGGAACACCGAUGGCGAAGGCAAUCCCCUGGGCCUGCACUGACGCUCAUGCACGAAAGCGUGGGGAGCAAACAGGAUUAGAUACCCUGGUAGUCCACGCCCUAAACGAUGUCAACUGGUUGUUGGGGAUUUAUUUUCUCAGUAACGAAGCUAACGCGUGAAGUUGACCGCCUGGGGAGUACGGCCGCAAGGUUAAAACUCAAAGGAAUUGACGGGG